GCUCACGUAGCUCAAUCGGUAGAGCAUGAGACUUUUAGAUGUCUUCAAGUUUAUCUCAAGGUUGCGAGUAAGUUUGUCCUCUUUCCCAACCAUUGUGGGAUCCUCAUCUAAAACAAUCCGCUAGGUUCGAUCCUCGUCGUGAGCU